rnacentral:lncRNA from 1 species
CUUAUAGAAGACAUAUAUCUGCAAAUCUCAAUAUUUAGUUUUCAAAUUCCCCCUCCAUGUAAAUGAGAAACUUAAGCUUCUCUUAACAUAAGGGAAAGAAAACGAUGCCAGUAAAAUAGGUAUACAUAUCCAAUAAACUUGCACCAAGUAAGGAUUUAUGCUAGGGACGAAAAGUAACAACUGUCUACAUACAGAAAACUUCACAAAAAGCAGUCAGCUCAAAGUUCUAAUAAAUCAAAGAUAUGAUACAUAUAUGUAUAUAUAUGUAUAUACACAUGUCGCUACACUCCACAAGCAGUUCUUCCAUAUUAAAUGCAGAAAGCAUCUAAACAGUCAGCUGCCUCUUUUAUGCUACAGUCAACUUUUUUCUGAGCUAUAAGA